AUUGAACGCUGGCGGCAGGCCUAACACAUGCAAGUCGAGCGGAGCGGCGGACGGGUGAGUAAUGCCUAGGAAUCUGCCUGGUAGUGUGGGAUAACGUCCGGAAACGGGCGCUAAUACCGCAUACUAUCAGAUGAGCCUAGGUCGGAUUAGCUAGUUGGUGGGGUAAAGGCCUACCAAGGCGCAGAUCCGUAACUGGUCUGAGAGGAUGAUCAGUCACAAGGGAAGUGAGACACGGUCCAGACUCCUACGGGAGGCAGCAGUGGGGAAUAUUGGACAAUGGGCGAAAGCCUGAUCCAGCCAUGCCGCGUGUGUGAAGAAGGUCUUCGGAUUGUAAAGCACUUUAAGUGGGGAGGCGUUACCCGCAGAAGAAGCACCGGCUAACUCCGUGCCAGCAGCCGCGGUAAUAC
rnacentral:rRNA from 1 species